rnacentral:rRNA from 1 species
AUGAGUCAAGGGGCAGGAUCGGAGAAAGGCCAAAGAGAGGUUCAGGUCGGCUCUAGGGCGGAAGCUUCGACGGUUGAAGGCCGGGUUGGGUGUUGGGGUAUUCCCUCUAUCUGUCUCGCUGAUGUUGUGAUGGCGGCGCAAGUCUGGUCAUUGGGGAGGAGAGGUGAGGACGUCACAGAUGGAUGGAAGCGGCAACAGAAGCAGAUUAAUUUUUCAAUCAUUUCUGGAUCGUCAAACUUGCACAAGUACAACAAGCGAUUCAAAGAAAGAAUGAUACACGGGCUAACUUAUGUGAACGAGAAGCUUGAUUGA